UUAAUAAAGUCAGUCUUAAUUGAGCAGUGAAAUGUGUCAGUAGCUUUUUUAAAAACUCCGAACAACACCCAAGUGUUUAACUGGCGCCCGAAUAGGGACCCAGAAGUCGGGAAAAGUAUAAGUGUUUUAAAGUGUGAAAAUCUUCAUAUUCGGUUAAAGCAGCCGGAUCACAACGGUGGAAAGAGCCACACACCAGAAACCAAGCGAUCUGCAGGACACUGAGGUAAUCACCCGAUCGAUGUGAGAGUCCCGAGUACCGCUAGGAAAAAGGAGCAACUCGUAGCAUCUGCCUGCCGAUCCCCCGACGAUAAAGGGAUUCCCGUCAACCCAGGAAAAGAAAGUCAAGAUAUGCUGGCAUUCAUACUAGGACUUUUAAUCCUACAUUCAGGAUGGUCAUCAGAACAAACUAUAUCACUCCGGAACCUAACUAACCAACCAAUCCUAGCAUUCGACCAUGGAACUAGCAGAAUGCAAAACCAAUUAGAAGAUUGACCAUUGCGGAUGUGAUUUCCCUGGAGUCUCAUCACUCAGCCGGGAGGAGUUAACAACCGAGCUACCAAAGGAAUUUGCUGACAAUUCAGACAAUGCCAUCGACGAGCAGGUUGACGACAAUCGAACGAUCGGAGCCACCACCGAGCGAUGCGGAGUCAGCGGUUCAUAUUCUGACCAAGGUGAAUCGAACGGCGGGCCCAAAUGUAAUCGUUAGAAUUAAUAAAGUCAGUCUUAAUUGAGCAGUGAAAUGUGUCAGUAGCUUUUUUAAAAACUCCAAACAACACCCAAGUGUUUAACUCGCGUAAGGAGUGUAGAAUAUACUUACGCAUAUGAGUAGGCGAGCCAAAGCUGCGUACUGGUGAGUAAAUCAACUGUUUCUGGGUUAUAUUUAUCAUAGACCUGCACCGUGAUAAUAAAAAAAACUCAGUGAGCGUAACACAGUGAGCAUAGCGCCGAGCCCUACGUAGACGCUACGGAACAGCUUAUUAAGGAAAU